UACGGGGGGGGCAAGCGUUGUUCGGAAUUACUGGGCGUAAAGGGCUCGUAGGCGGCCAACUAAGUCAGACGUGAAAUCCCUCGGCUUAACCGGGGAACUGCGUCUGAUACUGGAUGGCUUGAGUUUGGGAGAGGGAUGCGGAAUUCCAGGUGUAGCGGUGAAAUGCGUAGAUAUCCGGAGGAACACCGGUGGCGAAGGCGGCAUCCUGGACCGGCAUUGACGCUGAGGCGCGAAAGCUAGGGGAGCAAACGGG
rnacentral:rRNA from 1 species